CCUACGGGAGGCAGCAGUAGGGAAUAUUGCUCAAUGGGGGAAACCCUGAAGCAGCAACGCCGCGUGGAGGAUGAAGGUUUUCGGAUUGUAAACUCCUUUUGUUAGAGAAGAUAAUGACGGUAUCUAACGAAUAAGCACCGGCUAACUCCGUGCCAGCAGCCGCGGUAAUACGGAGGGUGCAAGCGUUACUCGGAAUCACUGGGCGUAAAGCGCGCGUAGGCGGGAUAGCAAGUCAGAUGUGAAAUCCUAUGGCUUAACCAUAGAACUGCAUUUGAAACUGUUAUUCUAGAGUAUGGGAGAGGUAGGUGGAAUUCUUGGUGUAGGGGUAAAAUCCGUAGAGAUCAAGAGGAAGACUCAGUGCGAAGGCGACCUGCUAGAACAUAACUGACGCUGAUGCGCGAAAGCGUGGGGAGCAAACAGGAUUAGAUACCCUUGUAGUC
rnacentral:rRNA from 1 species